CACCACACUAGUUGUAGUUCUUUCGGGUUAGUUUAGAAAAACAAUAGUUCCUAUUUUUUGGUGAGUGCUAGUGCUUCAUAAAGAAAGUUUGUGAUAAAAAAGGUUCUUAAUAUGGCUUUGAUAACUGCUAUUGUCAAUAAUUCUAUUAUAUUGUGUGUAUUCUAAAUGGAUGUUUCAACAUUGGGCACGAAAGGGAAUUCCUCAACUAAAUCCUCGCUUAUUUUUGGAGACACUCUUUCUUUGGUUAGAGGUCAAGCAUUAAGAGAUUUCCAUUUGAGUCUUUAUCAGAAAUUCAAAUCAACUGGCGCCAAAUGCGUGGGAAUCUAUAAUGCACACAAGCCUGAGUUAGUGCCAAUUGAUAUCAAUUUGCUCAAUUCUAGUGAAAGAUUAUUCAUCCUUUUCCACACAUGGAGUGUUCUAUCAUAAAAAUAAUGUACUUACAUCUCACGUGUUUAAUAUGGAGGGGCAACCUUGGAAAGACCGUCGAACGAAAUUGACUCCAAUAUUCACUUCAG
rnacentral:lncRNA from 1 species